rnacentral:miRNA from 1 species
GCACGGCGAGGCUGGCA